UACGUAGGCAGCGAGCGUUGUUCGGAGUUACUGGGCGUAAAGCGUGCGUAGGCGGUGGACCAAGUCUGGUGUGAAAUCUCCCGGCUCAACCGGGAGGUGCGCCGGAAACUGGUUCGCUGGAGUGCGGGAGAGGCAAGCGGAAUUCCGAGGUGUAGCGGUGAAAUGCGUAGAUAUCAGGAGGAACACCAAUUGCGAAGGCAGCUCGCUGGGACGUUACUGACGCUGAGACGCGAAAGCGUGGGGAGCAAACAGG
rnacentral:rRNA from 1 species